UCUUCAGGUUCACCAAAAUCAUACUAGACUCGAUCUGGUGCUUACGAGUCUAUAAAGCGAUAUUGAGUUUAUUUUGCAUUACCCGAAUUUGCCCUGUUUAGAGGUCUCUCUUUCCAUAAAUCUUUUGCGUAUACAAGGAUCCAAGAUUCGUCAUUAUUCUUGUGAGUACUUUGUGAACAGUCCCAUACUUUCAGGACACCACAGGACCAAAGCCGAACAUUUUUAUCACCGUACGACAUACCCGGUUAAUAGAUUAUAAUGUGCCGUUUGUAGCAAGUGAAAUUCCGAAUGUAGAGUAACUUCUGGAUAUACCAAAUUUUAAGAGCUGGAAGAACACACUAAGCAAAAUAAAGUAAUUACCAUGCGCUGCCAAAGGCACGAUUGGAUGUUUUGGUCGUAUAUUUGCUGGUCAGUAAUUAUUUCAAUCAAAUGCGAUAGUUUCAUGGAGGCGCAGGGAGUAAAACUUAGAUUGGAAAGAGUUAAGUGUAAAUGUGCGCCCGAUUUGUGCCGUGUUGAAAAAUGUAUCGUUAAGUUCAUAUCACGCG